rnacentral:rRNA from 1 species
UACGUAGGGGGCAAGCGUUGUCCGGAAUUAUUGGGCGUAAAGCGCGCGCAGGCGGUUCUUUAAGUCUGGUGUCUAAGUGCGGGGCUCAACCCCGUGUCGCACUGGAAACUGGGGAACUUGAGUGCAGAAGAGGAGAGCGGAAUUCCACGUGUAGCGGUGAAAUGCGUAGAUAUCUGGAGGAACACCGGUGGCGAAGGCGGCAUCCUGGACCAACACUGACACUGAUGAGCGAAAGCCAGGGGAGCAAACGGG